rnacentral:rRNA from 1 species
UAGGGAAUAUUGGGCAAUGGGCGGAAGCCUGACCCAGCCAUGCCGCGUGCAGGAUGAAGGCCUUCUGGGUUGUAAACUGCUUUUACCAGGGAAGAACACACUCCUGCGGGAGGGACUGACGGUACCUGGGGAAUAAGCACCGGCUAACUCCGUGCCAGCAGCCGCGGUAAUACGGAGGGUGCAAGCGUUGUCCGGAUUUAUUGGGUUUAAAGGGUGCGUAGGCGGCCCCUUAAGUCAGUGGUGAAAGCCCGCAGCUCAACUGCGGAACUGCCAUUGAUACUGGGGGGCUUGAGUACAGACGAGGUAGGCGGAAUUGAGGAUGUAGCGGUGAAAUGCUUAGAUAUCCUCAAGAACACCGAUUGCGUAGGCAGCUUACUAGGCUGUAACUGACGCUGAGGCACGAAAGCGUGGGGAGCGAACAGG